UAGCGGCGGACGGGUGCGUAACACGUAGGUAACCUGCCCUCUGGAGGGGGAUAACUCCGGGAAACCGGAGCUAAUACCCCAUAAAGCAAGGGCACCGCAUGGUGGGCUUGCUAAAGCCGAAAGGCGCCAGAGGAGGGGCCUGCGGCCGAUUAGCUAGUUGGUAGGGUAACGGCCUACCAAGGCGAUGAUCGGUAGCUGGUCUGAGAGGACAGCCAGCCACAGGGACACUGAGACACGGGUCCCACUCCUACGGGAGGCAGCAGUGGGGAAUAUUGGACAAUGGGCGAAAGCCUGAUCCAGCCACGCCGCGUGCCGGAUG
rnacentral:rRNA from 1 species